rnacentral:rRNA from 1 species
CGCGUAGGCGGACCUGUAAGUCAGAUGUGAAAUCUCGGGGCUCAACCUCGAAACUGCGUCUGAAACUGCAGGUCUAGAAUCUUGGAGGGGGAAGGGGAAUUUCGCAUGUAGGGGUAAAAUCCGUAGAUAUGCGAAGGAACACCAGAGGCGAAGGCGCCUUCCUGGACAAGUAUUGACGCUGAGGCGCGAAAGCGUGGGGAUCAAACA